AUCAUUUAGUCAGCUGGAUGCCAAAUUAUUCAUUUAAUGUUUAUUUUUAUGCAAUGAAUGGAAUGGGAUGGAACGUUACUAUAAACUUUCCGGAAAUUUGCGCAUGUUUGCUCGAAGGAGAGAACUGUUGAAGCCUAAAGCGUUCUCCUAGACUUAUAAAUAGACACCGUUUCCUUAACUAAUGAAGAUAAGUGAUGACGCUGAUGUAUUCCGUUUUGAAAAGAAAAUAAGGCUUUACUGCAUGUCCGCUGCAGCUGAGAAUCCUAGGACAAUAAAGAUUAUAUUGACGUCCAAUGGUGAGUUGGGCUGAAAUCCAGGUUACUAAUCCUAUUAUUUAUUUAUUUAUUGAUAUUAUUAUUAUCUUUUUUUAGGCUAACUUUCUCAGUUAACUAUGUUCUACAGUAGUUUAGUAAAUUUUCCACAGUUCUGACAUUUCAUCAAUUCAACUGGUUGUUGCCAAAAAGCCUUGUUCAUUACCUGACUGCAGCAAGCACUCUUUUACUGGGUGUAACCAUAGGAAACAGUCUCUUUUGAGCCUCUCUUUGUAAGUCCAGGAUGACCACCGUCAUUGAUUAAAGUUCACAUGUUAGCACACAUGCUCCCCCUUUUGUACUUUGUUUCAUCAGCAGCAGGGCAAAUAAGUUUCUGCCUCUUUGUCCAUCUUGUAGUGCUCCCCGUCUUUAUGUUAUGAGUCACAGCUUUUGGUGAGGGCUUCCAGGUUCUCUUUGGUGAGGGCUUCCAGGUUCUCUUUGUAUAGAAGUCAGAGCCAAACAUUCUUUGCAGCUGGUUGUGACAGGCCCACCCAGUAAAGUUCAUGCCUGCCACAAUGCACAGCAAACGUUUUCCUUAAAUAUGUUGAUUGAGUUAAAAUGACAGAACUUUCUCUUUUACAAAUCAAAAUCAACGAUGGUUUCUAAUAUUUAGUCGACUUUAUUGACUCAAAGGUAAAUCUAGACUACUUUAUGCACAAUUUUUCUGAAUCGUCAAAUCAGUUCUACACAGGUUUUAAACUUUAGGCACAAUCUAUCCCAAAUGCAAGAUCCCUCCUUUCAUUUUUUGUUUAUCUAUUUUAUUUUGGGAAAAUAACUACCAGUUUUUAACUCAAAACAGCCUAGUACAGUUUCUAGCCAGGUUACAGGAAAUAAUACUUAGUUUAUCUGUUUUUUCAUUAUUCAGCAUCUCAAAAUCCAGCCAUUAACGUUAAUGGUUCUUAAAGUUGAGGCAAGACAAUUAUUGGAUUUUGUUUUAUAGCAAGAUUUAACAAAUAUUUUAUUUCCUUACUGAUUAUUUGUUAAUUUUAUGGUUUUCAUAAAGAUGAUCCUGAGAGGUUCAGAGCUGCUUUUCGCAGCACCCUGUGCUAUUUUUAGACCACGGGACUCUUGUGUGUAAAAGUGGGUGGAGUCAGGUCCCCAGGCUGAAACUCCAGUCAUUCUCACUAGAUCUGUCCGAGAGGAAGGAUCUCCUGAAUACCCUAACCAGAAGCCUUAAGUCUCUCGAACUAAAUAACCGUCUAGUAAAAACAUGGACCGCACCCUGUUUCUCAAGCAGCUGCUCCCUCUAUUAAAAACUGCGUCAUUCAGAAGAUCCAGCGAAAGCAGCAUUUACUUCUCAUGCAAGAAGACACACAUUCACUCAUUCACAAGGCACAGAGACAUUCUUUGUUUGUCACAGUCUCUUUUUAUUAUUAUUAUUAUUUUUUAAAAGUAAGUCAGUUCGUCACUUAUUUAUUCUCUCUCUAUAUAUAUAUAAUAUUUUAAGCACAGAAUUUAUUUAACACUGCACUGGUUAUUUUCAGAAUUUAAUGCUUACUAUGCUUUUAAGCAGGCCUUAUGUAACAUUAGAGCAAAUCCAAUUGCAAUUUUUUUGAGAGCGCUCUGAGGAAUAGUUUAUAUAUUUAUUUUCUGCAGAUCUGUUUUGAUUUUACUGUUUAGCAGCUAUAUGACUAUAUUUCUAAAAUAAAGCUGUCAUUUACAUCCUUA